rnacentral:misc_RNA from 1 species
GAACGCACAUUGCGCCCGCCAGUAUUCUGGCGGGCAUGCCUGUUCGAGCGUCAUUUCAACCCUCAAGUCCCCUGUGGACUCGGUGUUGGGGACCGGCGAGACAGCCGCGGAUCUUCUUCCGCAGCGAGUCGCCGCCCCCCAAAUGACUUGGCGGCCUCGUCGCGGCCCUCCUCUGCGUAGUAUAGCACACCUCGCAACAGGAGCCCGGCGAAUGGCCACUGCCGUAAAACCCCCCAACUUUUUCAGAGUUGACCUCGAAUCAGGUAGGAAUACCCGCUGAACUUAAG